UUAUGGCCAUAUCGCGUUGAAAGAUCGGUUUCCGUACCAUCACCGAAGUUAAGCAACGCCGAGCUUGGUCAGUACCUAGAUGGGUGAUCGCUUGGGAAUACCAGGCGAUGUAAG